AUCCAGCUGGCAAGUCCUGAAUAGGACGAAACGUGCUUUCUGGAU
rnacentral:hammerhead_ribozyme from 1 species